rnacentral:rRNA from 1 species
AGCUAACGCUGGCGGCAUGCCUAACACAUGCAAGUCGAACGGAAAUUUAGCUUCGGUUAAGUUUUAGUGGCAAACGGGUGAGUAACGCGUGGGAAUCUACCCUUUGGUGGGGGAUAACUGGAGGAAACUUCGGCUAAUACCGCAUAACCUUGGAAACAAGGAAAGAUUUAUCGCCAAAGGAGGAGCCUGCGUCAGAUUAGGUAGUUGGUGGGGUAAUGGCCUACCAAGCCUGUGAUCUGUAGCUGGUCUGAGAGGAUGAUCAGCCACACUGGGACUGAGACACGGCCCAGACUCCUACGGGAGGCAGCAGUGGGGAAUAUUGGACAAUGGGGGAAACCCUGAUCCAGCAAUGCCGCGUGAAUGAAGAAGGCCUUCGGGUUGUAAAGUUCUUUCGCCUGUGACGAUAGUGACGGUAGCAGGAAAAGAAGUCCCGGCUAACUCCGUGCCAGCCGCCGCAGUAA